GAUGAACGCUGGCGGCGUGCCUAAUACAUGCAAGUCGAGCGAACAGACGAGGAGCUUGCUCCUCUGACGUUAGCGGCGGACGGGUGAGUAACACGUGGAUAACCUACCUAUAAGACUGGGAUAACUUCGGGAAACCGGAGCUAAUACCGGAUAAUAUAUUGAACCGCAUGGUUCAAUAGUGAAAGACGGUUUUGCUGUCACUUAUAGAUGGAUCCGCGCCGCAUUAGCUAGUUGGUAAGGUAACGGCUUACCAAGGCAACGAUGCGUAGCCGACCUGAGAGGGUGAUCGGCCAAACUGGAACUGAGACACGGUCCAGACUCCUACGGGAGGCAGCAGUAGGGAAUCUUCCGCAAUGGGCGAAAGCCUGACGGGGCAACGCCGCGUGAGUGAUGAAGGUCUUCGGAUCGUAAAACUCUGUUAUUAGGGAAGAACAAAUGUGUAAGUAACUAUGCACGUCUUGACGGUACCUAAUCAGAAAGCCACGGCUAACUACGUG
rnacentral:rRNA from 1 species